rnacentral:rRNA from 1 species
AAAUACUGCCAUAUGACCCUGUAGUUCUCGCCUGGUUUCCCACUGAAGAUAAACAGGGUUGAGUGUGGUCAGUACCUGGAUGGGAGACCUCCCGGCUAGAACAAGUGGUAUUAG